rnacentral:rRNA from 1 species
UCAAAUUUAAAAUCUGGUGACCUUUGGCCAUCCGAGUUGUAAUUUAGAGAAGCGUCUUCUGCGCUGGACCGUGCACAAGUCUCCUGGAAUGGAGCGUCAUAGAGGGUGAGAAUCCCGUCUUUGGCACGGACUCCCAGUGCUUCUGUGAUGCGCUCUCGACGAGUCGAGUUGUUUGGGAAUGCAGCUCAAAAUGGGUGGUGAACUCCAUCUAAAGCUAAAUACUGGCGAGAGACCGAUAGCGAACAAGUACCGUGAGGGAAAGAUGAAAAGCACUUUGGAAAGAGAGUGAAACAGUACGUGAAAUUGUUGAAAGGGAAACGCUUGAAGUCAGUCGCGUCGACCGAGACUCAGCCUUGCCUUGGCUUGGUGUGCUUUUCGGCUCGACGGGUCAGCAUCAAUUUCGAUCCUCGGAUAAUGGCAAGGGAAAGGUAGCACCUUUAUAGGUGUGUUAUAGUCCUCUGUCGCAUGCGAGGGUCAGGAUUGAGGAACUCAGCACGCACCUUUGGGUGUCGGGGCCUUGGCCCACGUUACGUGCUUAGGAUGCUGGCGUAAUGGCUUUAAACGACCCGUCUUGAAACACGGACCAAGGAGUCUAACAUACCCGCGAGUGUUCGGGUGGAAAACCCGUGCGCGUAAUGAAAGUAAAAGUUGGGACCUCUGUCGUGGAGGGCACCGACGCCCGGACCAGACCUUCUGUGACGGCUCUGCGGUAGAGCGUGUAUG